AGCAUGCUGUGUGUCGGUGGUGAAAGACAUGGGUAGUGAGACGUUAGAAUUUCAAGGUCGUAUCACUAUUCUGUUUUUCGCCUCGUAUCAC
rnacentral:pre_miRNA from 1 species